rnacentral:lncRNA from 1 species
UGGAAGUGCCUUCUGAUGAAGAUAAUUAAAGGUUCCUCAACAAGAGAGGGAGAGGACACGGAAGAGGCCAACACAGGGGGGUGGAAGAAAUCAAGACUAUCCAACCACAUGGAGCAGGACCAGAACAAGGCUGUGAUCAACAUUUCUGGAGAACCCCUUUCUGAUGAUUGUGAAUCUACAUCUAAAGGCUUGGUACAAGCAAAACAUCUCUCCAACUACAGACACCAGUGUCUCAGGUCAGGCAGUUUCUUUGCCCUCUAAAACACCUUUUAAGCCCAAGUCCACCUUUUGUCCCAUUGUCCAGAAUGCAAAACUAAAUACAUUUGCCAAGAAGAUUAAUUUUGAUGUGGAGAAUCUGUUUAAGGGUAAAAUUGACUCUGAC